UUACUGAAAUAAAUGAACUUUUGUACGAUAUUCUAAUUUUCUGAGUAUGAGAUGUUCCUUGUUUACCAUAUAAGGUCAUAGUUAAUAAUUAGGUUGCAUUUAGGUGUAUAUUCACGUGUUUACCAUUUCAAAAUGAUAUGGUUGUUCGGUUUUCUGGCAAAAUACAUUCGGGCAGGGUUUUGGCUGUUUGGGCGGUUUUUAGACUAAAUUGCCAAUCCGAUCUAGCAACACUGAUUGCGCCCAUGUUUCCGAAAGUGGGGCCUCCACCCUUUCCUCAGAGGAAAGGGUGUAGAGCGGCGUAAAGCGGCAAUAUUUGAAAAUGGUGAUUGUUGUGUUUGUUUAACGCAUUAUUAGUGUGAUUAUGGGUAUCGAAUAGCAACCUUUUGCUUGAAUGCUGGUGCCCUGAACAUUGAACUAUAGAUGGUCAGAUGGUUUCUGUCGAUAGGGAUGUUUGUUGUAUUAUGCAAAUAUCAGUUCAAGUUUGCAAUGUGAAUUCUUUCUCAAUUCCGUUGAAAUAAUGUAAUGGAACUGGAAGGCAUUUGUUAACAUUACUACUGUGGUACUAGCUUUGGAAUCCGAAACGAAUGGAACAUCUGAGCUGUGGGAAUGCUGAAUGGUGUGAAUACUAGAUAGAGAAUAAUGCCAAGCCAAAGGAUCCAAAAUAUCCUAAGAGAAAAAAUUAAGAGGAACAAAACCAAAAAACCAACCUGUCAGUCUAGAUAGAUCGACUGGUUUAUGUGGUAAACAUUAUUAAGCCUAUACCAAACCUGAACCGGUAUACCACAUCAGCUGACCCCUUCCUCAGGCCCGCCCACUGGCUCCACGCCGAGGUUAAAGCAGGGAACCAGCAAAAAGAGUGUUGUCACACUGUAAUCAGAGACACACAUUAUAUCAUCAGUGUGCAUCAAUAUUAUGGAAACUUGCACAUAAAGAAAGUAUCCUCAAUCAACAACACAAUGACUAAAGGGUCCUUCAGGCUCACAUAAUGUGAUAGACAAAAAUGGCAGCUUGCACUUGAUUUUAACAUAUCAUUUUGUGUGCUCGAGGUUUAAUCAUAAUGAGAAGGCUUUGGAUGUUGGCUUCAACAUGUUGCACACAAGAGGAAGGCCUUUGGAAAGUGUGUGGUGCCUCAUUUGAAGUUUAGAUUGAGUGCUUCUCCAGGGGGGACGGAGAAAGAACUCAUUGAAGACAGGCAGUGAAAAGAAGAUAGAGCUACAUCCUGAGCAGCGGUCAGUCUUUGAUUCGUUUAAAGCCCCCAGUAUAAAACCAGAAGGGUAUAUUCCAACUGUGAGAAUUGGAACAUAUAAAGACCAAUAAAGCCCAAUUCAGACCAAAGAUUCGCCUCGCAACGACUUGCAACGAGACUGUUUUGGAAUGUCGCAGGGGAAAAGUUGCAGCAGUGUGAACUGGUCGUUGCAGCGCGGCUGAUGCCGUCGCAAGGAGUCCAGUUUUAGAACACAACAACGUACCUAUUUCUCUUCAACCAAUCAGGACACAGCACAGAACAACUUGUACGUCACACGGCCUUACUCCGUCCCGGUCAUGUACUGUCCACAGUAAGCCCAGUUCAGAAGCAAAUAACUUUGAAUGCUACGUUUUUUUACACAAAGCGCCAUCAUCAAAAAGAAAAACAAAUACUUACUUAAAUAAAUAAAGCAAAGGUGAUGCAUUUUUAGGUUUAAGUAUUGCUAGAGUGGGAAAAGGAUGUAAAAAUGCAAUGACACACAGACCUUAGAAUCUGAUCAAAGGCUUUAUUUUGGGCUAUUAAUGUCUUCAGAGGUCACAUCAUCCACGAGGGCAAUUAGCUCAACGUCACACUAAUGAUUAACAAUAUUGUGUUCAAGAUUGUAUAAUGCCUUCACUAACAAAAAUCAACAAAAUAGCAAACCAAUGUUGCUUGUAGUCAAACACAAUUGAUAGUAUCUUUCUCUACUAUGCUACCUAAUUUGGCGUCCUUAACCAUGUUAUUCCAACAAAACUGUAAUCUUGUAAAUUUGGUUAAUCAUCGCAUCGAUAUGUGCCCAGAAUCAUUACGUCAUGGAAACGAGGAAUCAUCACAAAAUCCUCAAACAAUGAUUAAAUGGUCCUCUGUCCCGGC